rnacentral:rRNA from 1 species
GACGAACGCUGGCGGCGUGCUUAACACAUGCAAGUCGAACGGAAAGGCCCUGCUUUUGUGGGGUGCUCGAGUGGCGAACGGGUGAGUAACACGUGAGUAACCUGCCCUUGACUUUGGGAUAACUUCAGGAAACUGGGGCUCAUACCGGAUAGGAGCUCCUGCUGCAUGGUGGGGGUUGGAAAGUUUCGGCGGUUGGGGAUGGACUCGCGGCUUAUCAGCUUGUUGGUGGGGUAGUGGCUUACCAAGGCUUUGACGGGUAGCCGGCCUGAGAGGGUGACCGGCCACAAUGGGACUGAGAUACGGACCAGACUCCUACGGGAGGCAGCAGUGGGGAAUAUUGCACAAUGGGCGGAAGCCUGAUGCAGCAACGCCGCGUGCGGGAUGACGGCCUUCGGGUUGUAAACCGAUUUCGCCGGUGACGAAGCGUGAGUGACGGUAAUGGGUAAAGAAGCACCGGCUAACUACGUG